AUACGGAGGAUCCGAGCGUUAUCCGGAUUUAUUGGGUUUAAAGGGUGCGCAGGCGGGAGAUUAAGUCGGCGGUGAAAUUUUACAGCUCAACCGUAAAAGGGCCUUCGAAACUGGUUUCCUUGAGUGUAGAUGAAGUAGGCGGAAUUUGUGGUGUAGCGGUGAAAUGCAUAGAUAUCACGAGGAACUCCGAUUGCGCAGGAAGCUUACUCAACUACUGCUAUCGCUCAGGCACGAAGGGGUGGGGAUCAAACAGGAUUAGAUACCCUUGUAGUCCACGCAGUAAACGAUGACAAAUAGUUGUUGGCAAGAAACAGAUCAGUAACUGAGCGAAAGCGUUAAGUAAUCCACCUGGGGAGUACGACCGCAAGGUUGAAACUCAAAGGAAUUGACGGGG
rnacentral:rRNA from 1 species